UACGUAGGGCGCAAGCGUUAUCCGGAAUUAUUGGGCGUAAAGAGCUCGUAGGCGGUUUGUCGCGUCUGCCGUGAAAGUCCGGGGCUCAACCCCGGAUCUGCGGUGGGUACGGGCAGACUUGAGUGCAGUAGGGGAGACUGGAAUUCCUGGUGUAGCGGUGAAAUGCGCAGAUAUCAGGAGGAACACCAAUAGCGAAGGCAGCUCGCUGGGACGUUACUGACACUGAGGCGCGAAAGCGUGGGGAGCGAACAGG
rnacentral:rRNA from 1 species